rnacentral:SRP_RNA from 1 species
GCUGGGUGUGGUGGUGUGUGCCUGUAGUCCCAGCUACUUGGGAGGUUGAGGUAGGAGGAUCCCUUGAGCCCAGGAGUCCUGGGCCAGCCUGGGCAACAUAGUGGGACCCUGUCUCUU